rnacentral:tRNA from 1 species
UCUCUGAUAGCUCAGUUGGUAAAGAAUCUGCCUGCAAUGCAGGAGACCCCAGUUCGAUGCCUGGGUUGGGAA